rnacentral:rRNA from 1 species
GAUGAACGCUGGCGGCGUGCCUAAUACAUGCAAGUCGAGCGAACGGACGAGAAGCUUGCUUCUCUGAUGUUAGCGGCGGACGGGUGAGUAACACGUGGAUAACCUACCUAUAAGACUGGGAUAACUUCGGGAAACCGGAGCUAAUACCGGAUAAUAUUUUGAACCGCAUGGUUCAAAAGUGAAAGACGGUCUUGCUGUCACUUAUAGAUGGAUCCGCGCUGCAUUAGCUAGUUGGUAAGGUAACGGCUUACCAAGGCAACGAUGCAUAGCCGACCUGAGAGGGUGAUCGGCCACACUGGAACUGAGACACGGACCAGACUCCUACGGGAGGCAGCAGUAGGGAAUCUUCCGCAAUGGGCGAAAGCCUGACGGAGCAACGCCGCGGGAGUGAUGAAGGUCUUCGGAUCGUAAAACUCUGUUAUUAGGGAAGAACAUAUGUGUAAGUAACUGUGCAAAUCUUGACGGUACCGAAGCAGAAAGCCACGGCUAACUACGU